rnacentral:rRNA from 1 species
GGGUUGUGAGGUUAAGUGACUAAGCGUACACGGUGGAUGCCUAGGCAGUCAGAGGCGAUGAAGGGCGUGCUAAUCUGCGAAAAGCGUCGGUAAGGUGAUAUGAACCGUUAUAACCGGCGAUACCCGAAUGGGGAAACCCAGUGUGUUUCGACACACUAUCAUGUCAUGAAUACAUAGUGGCAUGAGGCGAACCGGGGGAACUGAAACAUCUAAGUACCCCGAGGAAAAGAAAUCAACCGAGAUUCCCCCAGUAGCGGCGAGCGAACGGGGAGGAGCCCAGAACCUGAAUCGGCUUGUGUGUUAGUGGAAGCGUCUGGAAAGUCGCGCAGUAAAGGGUGAUAGCCCCGUACACUAAAAUGCACAGGUCGUGAGUUCGAUGAGUAGGGCGGGACACGUGACAUCCUGUCUGAAUAUGGGGGGACCAUCCUCCAAGGCUAAAUACUCCUGACUGACCGAUAGUGAACCAGUACCGUGAGGGAAAGGCGAAAAGAACCCCGGCGAGGGGAGUGAAAUAGAACCUGAAACCGUGUACGUACAAGCAGUGGGAGCACCUUCGUGGUGUGACUGCGUACCUUUUGUAUAAUGGGUCAGCGACUUAUAUUUUGUAGCAAGGUUAACCGUAUAGGGGAGCCGUAGGGAAACCGAGUCUUAACUGGGCGAAUAGUUGCAAGGUAUAGACCCGAAACCCGGUGAUCUAGCCAUGGGCAGGUUGAAGGUUGGGUAACACUAACUGGAGGACCGAACCGACUAAUGUUGAAAAAUUAGCGGAUGACUUGUGGCUGGGGGUGAAAGGCCAAUCAAACCGGGAGAUAGCUGGUUCUCCCCGAAAGCUAUUUAGGUAGCGCCUCGUGAACUCAUCUUCGGGGGUAGAGCACUGUUUCGGCUAGGGGGCCAUCCCGGCUUACCAAACCGAUGCAAACUCCGAAUACCGAAGAAUGUUAUCACGGGAGACACACGGCGGGUGCUAACGUCCGUCGUGAAGAGGGAAACAACCCAGACCGCCAGCUAAGGUCCCAAAGUCAUGGUUAAGUGGGAAACGAUGUGGGAAGGCAUAGACAGCCAGGAUGUUGGCUUAGAAGCAGCCAUCAUUUAAAGAAAGCGUAAUAGCUCACUGGUCGAGUCGGCCUGCGCGGAAGAUGUAACGGGGCUAAACCAUGCACCGAAGCUGCGGCAGCGACGCUUAGGCGUUGUUGGGUAGGGGAGCGUUCUGUAAGCCGUUGAAGGUGGCCUGUGAGGGUUGCUGGAGGUAUCAGAAGUGCGAAUGCUGACAUAAGUAACGAUAAAGCGGGUGAAAAGCCCGCUCGCCGGAAGACCAAGGGUUCCUGUCCAACGUUAAUCGGGGCAGGGUGAGUCGACCCCUAAGGCGAGGCUGAAAAGCGUAGUCGAUGGGAAACAGGUUAAUAUUCCUGUACUUGGUGUUACUGCGAAGGGGGGACGGAGAAGGCUAGGCUAGCCGGGCGACGGUUGUCCCGGUUUAAGCGUGUAGGGGGUGUGACCUGGUAAAUCCGGUUACAUACUAACCCUGAGGCGUGAUGACGAUGCACUACGGUGCAGAAGUAGUUGAUGCCCUGCUUCCAGGAAAAGCCUCUAAGCUCUAGGUAACAUUGAAUCGUACCCCAAACCGACACAGGUGGUCAGGUAGAGAAUACCAAGGCGCUUGAGAGAACUCGGGUGAAGGAACUAGGCAAAAUGGUGCCGUAACUUCGGGAGAAGGCACGCUGGCAUGUAGGUGAAGUCCUUCGCGGAUGGAGCUGAAGCCAGUCGAAGAUACCAGCUGGCUGCAACUGUUUAAUAAAAACACAGCACUGUGCAAACACGAAAGUGGACGUAUACGGUGUGACGCCUGCCCGGUGCUGGAAGGUUAAUUGAUGGGGUCAGCCGCAAGGCGAAGCUCUUGAUCGAAGCCCCAGUAAACGGCGGCCGUAACUAUAACGGUCCUAAGGUAGCGAAAUUCCUUGUCGGGUAAGUUCCGACCUGCACGAAUGGCGUAAUGAUGGCCAGGCUGUCUCCACCCGAGACUCAGUGAAAUUGAACUCGCUGUGAAGAUGCAGUGUACCCGCGGCAAGACGGAAAGACCCCGUGAACCUUUACUAUAGCUUGACACUGAACAUUGAGCCUUGAUGUGUAGGAUAGGUGGGAGGCUUUGAAGCGUGGACGCCAGUCUGCGUGGAGCCAUCCUUGAAAUACCACCCUUUAAUGUUUGAUGUUCUAACUCGGCCCCAUAAUCUGGGGUGAGGACAGUGUCUGGUGGGUAGUUUGACUGGGGCGGUCUCCUCCCAAAGAGUAACGGAGGAGCACGAAGGUUAGCUAAUCACGGUCGGACAUCGUGAGGUUAGUGCAAAGGCAUAAGCUAGCUUGACUGCGAGAGUGACGGCUCGAGCAGGUACGAAAGUAGGUCUUAGUGAUCCGGUGGUUCUGAAUGGAAGGGCCAUCGCUCAACGGAUAAAAGGUACUCCGGGGAUAACAGGCUGAUACCGCCCAAGAGUUCAUAUCGACGGCGGUGUUUGGCACCUCGAUGUCGGCUCAUCACAUCCUGGGGCUGAAGUAGGUCCCAAGGGUAUGGCUGUUCGCCAUUUAAAGUGGUACGCGAGCUGGGUUUAGAACGUCGUGAGACAGUUCGGUCCCUAUCUGCCGUGGGCGUUGGAAGAUUGAGAGGGGUUGCUCCUAGUACGAGAGGACCGGAGUGAACGCACCACUGGUGUUCGGGUUGUCAUGCCAAUGGCAUUGCCCGGUAGCUAAGUGCGGAAAAGAUAAGCGCUGAAAGCAUCUAAGCGCGAAACUUGCCUCAAGAUGAGUCUUCCCUGGGCCUUUAAGGCCCCUGAAGGAACGUUUAAGACUAAGACGUUGAUAGGCUGGGUGUGUAAGUGCAGCGAUGCAUUGAGCUAACCAGUACUAAUGAUCCGUGAGGCUUAACCUUACAACACCGAAGGUGUUU